rnacentral:miRNA from 1 species
AUAUAUAUAUAUAUAUAUAUGUGUGUGUGUGUGUGUGUGUAUAUAUACACACACACGCACAUAUAAAACUACCUUUACUCACAGAUUAC